GGGGCUGUAGCUCAAUUGGUAGAGCACCGCCUUUGCAAGGCGGGGGUCAGGGGUUCGAUUCCCCUCAGCUCCACAA
rnacentral:tRNA from 2 species